AUUGAACGCUGGCGGCAGGCCUAACACAUGCAAGUCGAGCGGAUGAAGGGAGCUUGCUCCUGGAUUCAGCGGCGGACGGGUGAGUAAUGCCUAGGAAUCUGCCUGGUAGUGGGGGAUAACGUCCGGAAACGGGCGCUAAUACCGCAUACGUCCUGAGGGAGAAAGUGGGGGAUCUUCGGACCUCACGCUAUCAGAUGAGCCUAGGUCGGAUUAGCUAGUUGGUGGGGUAAAGGCCUACCAAGGCGACGAUCCGUAACUGGUCUGAGAGGAUGAUCAGUCACACUGGAGCUGAGACACGGUCCAGGCUCCUACGGGAGGCAGCAGUCGGGAAUAUUGGACAGUGGGCGAAAGCCUGAUCCAGCCAUGCCGCGUGUGUGAAGAAGGUCUUCGGAUUGUAAAGCACUUUAAGUUGGGAGGAAGGGCAGUAAGUUAAUACCUUGCUGUUUUGACGUUACCAACAGAAGAAGCACCGGCUAACUUCGUG
rnacentral:rRNA from 1 species